rnacentral:rRNA from 1 species
GAUGAACGCUGGCGGCGUGCCUAAUACAUGCAAGUCGAGCGAACAGACGAGGAGCUUGCUCCUCUGACGUUAGCGGCGGACGGGUGAGUAACACGUGGAUAACCUACCUAUAAUACUGGGAUAACUUCGGGAAACCGGAGCUAAUACCGUAUAAUAUAUUGAACCGCAUGGUUCAAUAGUGAAAGACGGUUUUGCUGUCACUUAUAGAUGGAUCCGCGCCGCAUUAGCUAGUUGGUAAGGUAACGGCUUACCAAGGCGACGAUGCGUAGCCGACCUGAGAGGGUGAUCGGCCACACUAGAACUGAGACACGGUCCAGACUACUACGGGAGGCAGCAGUAGGGAAUCUUCGGCAAUGGGCGAAAGCCUGACGGAGCAACGCCGCGUGAGUGAUGAAGGUCUUCGGAUCGUAAAACUCUGUUAUUAGGGAAGAACAAAUGUGUAAGUAACUAUGCACGGCUUGACGGUACCUAAUCAGAAAGCCACGGCUAACUACGUG